GUCUCUCCCUGACUAGCAAGGGAGGAGGACUGGUUUCUGAGGGGAUGAGACUGGAGUAGUGGGCACUGCUGGUGGGCAGUGUCCUGAAGAGGAUGCCACCAAGCGGGAAGCGAUGAGGGUCCCAAACCAGCAGAGCAGAUAACAGCUGAGACAUGAUGUGCAGAGGGUGCUCCACAGCUGACAAGAGCUAAUUCCUGGAGGCACCAGCGGUGGUGGAAGACAUUGGUCCAGAAAAAUGGCUCAAUUAACUUUCAAGCCUUCUAAAAAUACCAUUAAGUAUGUACCUACUUAAGGAUGAAAAGCAUUGUAUAUU